rnacentral:rRNA from 1 species
ACAAGUUGACAAGAGCAUCGGGUGGAUGCCUUGGCGUCGGAAGGCGAUGAAAGACGUGGUAAGCUGCGAAAAGCCUCGGGGAGAAGCUAAACAUUCUGUGAUCCGGGGAUUUCUGAAUGGGGAAACCCGGCGGAGGUCAUGCUCCGUCGCGGGCACUUGAAUACAUAAAGUGUCCAGCGCCAACUCAGGGAAGUGAAACAUCUCAGUACCUGAAGGAAAAGAAAUCAAACGAGACUCCCAAAGUAGCGGCGAGCGAAAUGGGAUGAGCCCAAACCGGCUGGAUUCGUUCAGCCGGGGUUGUAGGGCCGGCAUAUGUGAUUCAUGAGUAGGCAGGGGAAAUGAGCUGGAAAGCUCUGCCAGAGCGGGUGACAGCCCCGUACCUGAAACCGAAAGCGACACAGCCGGUACCUGAGUACCGCGAGACACGUGGAACCUCGUGGGAAUCCGGGAGGACCAUCUUCCAAGGCUAAGUACUAACCGACGACCGAUAGUGUACCAGUACCGUGAGGGAAAGGUGAAAAGAACCUCUGUUAGAGGAGUGAAAUAGAAUCUGAAACCUGGUGCUUACAAGCUGUGAGAGCGGACUUGUUCCGUGAUCACGUGCCUUUUGCAUAAUGAGUCAGCGAGUUAAUCUGUACUGCAAGGUUAAGCGUGAGUGGAGCCGUAGGGAAACCGAGUCUGACAAGGGCGAUGAGUAGUGCGGAUUAGACCCGAAACCGGGUGAUCUAUCCAUGAGCAGGUUGAAGCAAGGGUAAAACCUUGUGGAGGACCGAACCAAUACCGGCUGAAAACGGUUUGGAUGACUUGUGGAUAGGGGUGAAAGGCCAAUCAAACCCGGUGAUAGCUGGUUCUCCCCGAAAUAUAUUGAGGUAUAGCCUCAUGGAUUGUCUACCGGAGGUAAAGCACUGACAGGGCUAGGGGUCCUACCAGAUUACCAAACCCUAUCAAACUCAGAAUGCCGGUCAGAUGUACCAUGGGAGUCAGACGGCGGGUGCUAAGGUCCGUCGUCGAGAGGGUAAGAGCCCAGAUCAACAGCUAAGGUCUCCAAAUCUAUGCUCAGUGGUUAAGGUGGUGACGUUGUAGAGACACCCAGGACGUUGGCUUAGAAGCAGCCAUCGUUUAAAGAAAGCGUAAUAGCUCACUGGUCUAAUGACGUUGCGCCGAAAAUGUAACGGGGCUAAGCAUAGUACCGAAGCUUUGAAUUCCGCGAAUGCGGUCUGGUAGGGGAGCGUUCUUCACGGGCUGAAGGUGUGUCGUAAGGCAUGCUGGACUGUGGAGAAGUGAUUAUGCUGACAUGAGUAACGAUAAAACGGGUGAAAAACCCGUUCGCCGUAAACCCAAGGUUUUCCGGGUAAAGGUAAUCUUCCCGGAGUUAGUCGGCCCCUAAGGCGAGGCUGAAAGGCGUAGCUGAUGGGAAACGUGUUAAUAUUCACGUACUUGUGUGUUCGCGCGAUGAAGGGACGCAGGAAGAUAGGCAAGCCGGGCGCUGGUUGUCCCGGUGCAAGCGUGUAGGGAUGAGAAAUUGGCAAAUCCGUUUCUCUCUAUCCUGAGACGCGAGUCCGUGACCGAAAGGUCUGAAGUUGUUGAGUCUAUGCUGCCUAGAAAAGCUUCUAAGUAUAGGACACGCAAACCGUACCGGAAACCAACUCAGGUGGGUGGGAUGAAUAAUCCAAGGCGCUCGAGAGAACUCUGGCCAAGGAACUCGGCAAAAUAACCCCGUACCUUCGGAAGAAGGGGUGCUUUUUAGGGUGAAGCGAUUCACUCUGUCGAGCCCUGAAAAGCCGCAGAGAAAUGGUGGUGGCGACUGUUUACUAAAAACAUAGGUCUGUGCCAAGUCGUAUAGACGACGUAUACGGACUGACGCCUGCCCGGUGCUGGAAGGUUAAAAGGAGGAGUCAGCGCAAGCGAAGCUCCGAAUUGAAGCCCCAGUAAACGGCGGCCGUAACUAUAACGGUCCUAAGGUAGCGAAAUUCCUUGUCGGGUAAGUUCCG